rnacentral:rRNA from 1 species
AGUUGGUAAGGUGACGGCUUACCAAGGCGACGACGGCUAGGGGGUGUGAGAGCACGACCCUCGCCACUGGCACUGAGACACUGGCCAGACUCCUACGGGAGGCUGCAGUCGAGAAUCUUCGGCAAUGGGCGAAAGCCUGACCGAGCGACGCCGCGUGGAGGAAGAAGGCCUUCGGGUUGUAAACUCCUGUUGGGGGGGAACAAUUCAAUGAGUGAACCCCUGAGGAAGCACGGGCUAAGUUCGUGCCAGCAGCCGCGGUAAGACGAACCGUGCGAACGUUAUUCGGAAUCAUUGGGCUUAAAGAGCACGUAGGCGGCGGCGUAAGUGGGGGGUGAAAGGCUAUCGGCUCAACCGUGGCAUUGCCUCCCAAACUGCGUCGCUUGAGGAAGGUAGGGGCAGGUGGAACUUCCAGUGGAGCGGUGAAAUGUGUUGAGAUUGGAAGGAACGCCAGUGGCGAAAGCGACCUGCUGGAUCUUUGCUGACGCUGAGGUGCG